UGCUCGUGCUCAGAUGGAGAAGGAGCGAGGGAAUCUAUUGAAAGCCCUUGGAACACAGGUUGCAGAACCAUUAAGGGCCAUGGUGAUGGGAGCCCCAUUGGAAGAUGCUCGACAUCUAGCUCAAAGAUAUGACAGAAUGCGGCAAGAGGCAGAAGCACAGGCUGUUGAAGUAUCCAGACGACAAGCUAAACUGAGAGAAGGAACAGGUCAUCCUGACAUGGCAUACAAACUGGAAGCAGCUGAAACAAAGCUAGACGACUUGAAGUCAAACACAAAUACAUUAGGAAAAGAAGCCGCAGCAGCUAUGGCUGCUGUUGAAGCUCAGCAGCAAAGAUUGACUCUCCAACGAUUGAUUGCCAUGGUUGAAUCAGAACGGUCAUACCAUCAGAGAAUCCUUCAAAUUCUUGAUCAGCUAGAAGCUGAGAUGUUAUCAGAGCGCCAACGUAUUGAAG
rnacentral:misc_RNA from 1 species